rnacentral:rRNA from 1 species
CAGCCGCCGCGGUAAUACGAAGGGUGCAAGCGUUAAUCGGAAUUACUGGGCGUAAAGCGUGCGUAGGCGGUGAGUUAAGUCUGCUGUGAAAUCCCCGGGCUCAACCUGGGAAUGGCAGUGGAUACUGGCUCGCUAGAGUGUGUCAGAGGAUGGUGGAAUUCCCGGUGUAGCGGUGAAAUGCGUAGAGAUCGGGAGGAACAUCAGUGGCGAAGGCGGCCAUCUGGGACAACACUGACGCUGAGGCACGAAAGCGUGGGUAGCAAACAGGAUUAGAUACCCCGGUAGUCCCUGUCUCUUAUAC